rnacentral:rRNA from 1 species
UACGAAGGGGGCUAGCGUUGCUCGGAAUUACUGGGCGUAAAGGGCGCGUAGGCGGAUAGUUCAGUUGGGGGUGAAAGCCCGGGGCUCAACCUCGGAACUGCCUUCAAUACUGGCUAUCUUGAGUACGGGAGAGGUGUGUGGAACUCCGAGUGUAGAGGUGAAAUUCGUAGAUAUUGGGAAGAACACCGGUGGCGAAGGCGGCUCACUGGCUCGUAACUGACGCUGAGGCGCGAAAGCGUGGGGAGCGAACAGG